GCGCCAGACUCCUACGGGAGGCAGCAGUCGGGAAUAUUGCGCAAUGGAGGAAACUCUGACGCAGUGACGCCGCGUAUAGGAAGAAGGUUUUCGGAUUGUAAACUAUUGUCAUUAGGGAAGAUAAAAGACUGUACCUAAGGAGGAAGCCCCGGCUAACUACGUGCCAGCAGCCGCGGUAAUACGUAGGGGGCAAGCGUUAUCCGGAUUUACUGGGUGUAAAGGGGGCGCAGACGGCGAUGCAAGCCAGGAGUGAAAGCCCGGGGCCCAACCCCAGGACUGCUCUUGGAACUGCGUGGCUGGAGUGCAGGAGGGGCAGGCGGAAUUCCUGGUGUAGCGGUGAAAUGCGUAGAUAUCAGGAGGAACACCGGCGGCGAAGGCGGCCUGCUGGACCGUGACUGACGUUGAGGCUCGAGAGCGUGGGGAGCAAACAGGAUUAGAUACCCUAGUACU
rnacentral:rRNA from 1 species